UACGUAGGGCGCAAGCGUUGUCCGGAAUUAUUGGGCGUAAAGAGCUCGUAGGCGGUUUGUCGCGUCUGCUGUGAAAACCUCAGGCUCAACCUGGGGCUUGCAGUGGGUACGGGCAGACUAGAGUGCGGUAGGGGUGACUGGAAUUCCUGGUGUAGCGGUGAAAUGCGCAGAUAUCAGGAGGAACACCGGUGGCGAAGGCGGGUCUCUGGGCCGAUACUGACGCUGAGGAGCGAAAGCGUGGGGAGCGAACAGG
rnacentral:rRNA from 1 species